rnacentral:rRNA from 1 species
GCUAAGCCGGUUCAUGGGACCGCGGUAAGAGCGGGUGGGCAAGGCUUAAUCGUGAUUACUGGGCGUGAAGCGCACGCAGUCGGUUGGUCAAAUCGGAGGUGAAAUCCCCGGGCUCAGCCUGGGAAAUGCAUUCGAAACUGGCAGUUUAGAGGCUUGUAGAGGGGGGUAUAAUUCCAGGUGUAGCGGUGAAAUGCGUAGAGAUCUGGAGGAAUACCGGUGGCGAAGGCGGCCCCCUGGACAAAGACUGACGCUCAGGUGCGAAAGCGUGGGGAGCAAACAGGAUUAGAUACCCGAGUAGUC